UUUCCGUAGGUGAACCUGCGGAAGGAUCAUUACAGAGUUCAUUCCCGACAGGGUCGACCUCACACCCCGGUGUAUCAUUACUUUGUUGCUUUGGCGAGCUGCGAUUGGUCCUCAGUAUUUGAAUCUUGCGCACGCUCUCAAGAGGAUACUAAAGCACUUUUUAUUAAUCUCCUCUGAGUACUAUAUAAUAGUUAAAACUUUCAACAACGGAUCUCUUGGUUCUG
rnacentral:misc_RNA from 1 species